rnacentral:tRNA from 1 species
GGGCGGCUAGCUCAGCGGGAGAGCGCUUGCUUCACACGCAAGAGGUCGCUGGUUCGAAACCAGCGCCGCCCA